AAACAGAACGUUUCAUGAGAAUAAUAAUAAUGGCGGCGCGUUGAGUGGUACCUCGCGACUUGGCAAGCGGCACUAGGAAGUGAAAAUACCGUAAUUUCUACCAGUUCCACCUACCCGACAGCCAUCGUAGGCCAACCGUGCGUGAACCGGAACUGUCCAGCGUGUUGGCAGCGUGUUUUCAGCGUUCCUACCAGUGAGCAGAGACCAGCAUUCCCGUUUCCGCGUUCGGUGCCACAGGAUUGGUCGCGAAGGAUCCGGACUCGCUCGCCGUCGACCGUGAUGAUGCUGGACUUUUUCUGUGUGUGAGCAUUGCUAAAUCUCAAAAGAGCUGAUCGGCCGUGCGGAAAGAAAGACUGGAGGCCGCACUAGAUUGCAAUCUAGUGCAAUAGUGGUGUGUGGCAAAGGCAAAGCACGUGAAGAUGCACAUUUUCGCAGUGUGUGAAAUGUGAAGUGGUAAAACGCAAGGAGAAAGAGAGAGAGGGUCUACGCCGUGCAGCCCCGAACGAGUAGCGCAAGUGUGUGUGUGUGUGUGUAUGUGUGUGGGGGGAGAAUUGUUUCCGUUUAAGUUUUCUUUUCUCCCUUUUUCCCUGUCGUGUUUUUGUUUGAAAGCGAACCGUCUCGCGUCUUGCCGCCGCUUGCCUCCGUGGAAGGGUUGCCCGUACAGCCGACCGGGGGCCGUACCAGCCGUGUAAAGCCGUUUGUUUUCAUGCGCGUCUCCCACUGCAUCCCCUCGUUGCGCGAGCUGCCGUAGCAUUUUCGCUGGUGUGUGCUUUCCAUCAAUCCAGUUGUUGCUUUUUCCCAGAGCAAACGCGGUUUGUGGACCAUAAACGCCCCGCGUUCGCGUUGCCGUCUUGCUGCGUGCAUUUACGCUGUACCGCGCCUACAAACUCCACUACCCCGCUGCAGGUACACCAACCACCGACGACGACCCCGUCAGCACCCGUGUAGCUGUGUAUGACCCCGAAUUUUCUUUCACCCUCAUACACACACACAAACACACCCUGGAACCGGAGCUGUCAUUGGGGUGUUUCUUUUUGCGCUGGCUGGAGUUUGCUGGUGAAAAAGAAGCUGACUUUUCAUUUUCCGUUCGACGUGGUGUUUGCGAACUACGGAACUAACGAAAAAGAAAAACGCAUCAUCUUCUGCGUCGGCCGUAACAUUGAGUGAGAAAGACUGCUGCUUUAAACAAUUCCCCGAAGCCCGGAUGUUGACCCGGAAGCAAAACGCCAACCAACCGGGUGCGCUGAAAUUGGAGGAAUGUGAAGAAACUGCUGCUGCUGCUUAACUGUUGUUGAGAGGAGUUUUAGCCAACUCCACAGCGCAUCGAAAAAGUGUGCAAUAGAAGGAACACUUUUUGCACAUCUUAGUGGUGUUGGUUCCGCUAGGAAACGGUUUUUUAAGUUCUCCAGACUGGCAUGGAGUUAUGCUAUCUGCUUUAAAUAACAGAACUACAUCUUAUAGAUACUUUGAUGAAGUGAUAUCAACGGACAUUCGUGUGCUGCAUGAAGCCGAUACAAUUCUGACAAACUAACUGAGGCUCGCCUGCCAAGGGCCAAAACGGUGACCGCAAAUUGGUGAAUUAGUUUUCGAUUGUCUUAACAUAACAUUCAAAGAGGCUGCACAAAGUGAGCGUCGUGCAAGAUGUGGAACUCCGAGCGGUCCCAGUCCAACGGUGGCGGCGGAUCCGGUUCCGCCACCAAGACACUCGGCAUGACGUCAGCAAUCAGUACGGCUGAGCCAAAGCCGGAGGAUAUACAGAAAACAAAGGAAUUGGAAAAAAGUUUAGAACCAUUUAAUGUGUUUGAGGCCGAGGAGGAACUGAACCAUCGGAUGGAAAUUCUCGCCAAGCUGAACACGCUCGUCAAGCAGUGGGUGCGGGAUGUAUCGAUUUCAAAGAACAUGCCAGAAGCGAUGGCCGAAAAGCUUGGCGGCAAAAUCUACACCUUCGGUUCGUACCGGCUCGGGGUGCACCACAAAGGGGCUGAUAUUGAUGCCCUGUGCGUGGCACCGCGCAAUAUAGAGCGGGCCGAUUACUUCGGUUCGUUUUUCGAGCUGUUGAAGCAGCAGCCGGAAGUCACCGAGUGUAGGGCGGUAGAGGAAGCGUUUGUACCUGUUAUAAAGAUGAAUUUCGAUGGCAUCGAGAUCGAUUUGCUGUUUGCUCGGCUGGCGCUCAAGGAAAUUCCCGACAAUUUCGACCUGCGCGAUGACAUGCUGCUGAAGAACCUGGAUCAAAAGUCCGUCCGCAGCCUGAACGGUUGCCGAGUGACGGACGAAAUCCUGCGGCUGGUACCUAACAUCGACAACUUUCGCCUGGCGCUGCGAACAAUUAAGCUGUGGGCAAAGCGACAUGGAAUAUACUCCAACUCGCUCGGUUACUUUGGAGGUGUCUCCUGGGCAAUGCUGGUCGCUAGAACGUGCCAGCUCUAUCCGAAUGCAGUGGCAGCAACGCUGGUGCAUAAAUUUUUCCUCGUCUUCUCCCGUUGGAAGUGGCCCCAACCGGUUCUGCUCAAACAGCCCGACAACGUGAACCUAGGAUUCCAGGUUUGGGAUCCGCGAGUAAAUGUGCAGGAUCGGUUCCACCUGAUGCCGAUCAUAACGCCCGCGUAUCCGCAGCAAAAUUCCACAUUCAACGUGUCCAGCUCCACGCGCAAGGUGAUGCUGAUGGAGUUCAACCGUGGCAUGCAGAUAACGGACGAUAUUAUGAUGGGCAAGCAGAUGUGGGAGAAGCUGUUCGAGGCACCGAGUUUCUUUUACCGGUAUCGUCAUUUUAUCGUAUUGCUAGUCACCUCCAGCAAUGCAGAUGAUCAUUUGGAGUGGUGCGGUCUGGUGGAGUCGAAAAUACGUUACCUCAUCCAGAACCUUGAGCGCAACCAGCACAUCAAUCUUGCGCACGUGAACCCAAAGUGCUACGAGCAGCACGAACAAAACUCGGCCACCACACUGAACGGGGCGGACGGUAAACCGACCCCAUUCUGUUCGCUCUGGUUCAUCGGGCUGGAGUUUGAACGCUCCGAGAACCUGAACGUCGAUCUGACCGAGAGCAUACAAAGCUUCACCGAUUCCGUACACAAGCACGCGGUACACAUCAAGCUGCUGAAGGAUGGCAUGAAGAUCGAGGCUAGGCACGUGAGACGAAAGCAGCUUACCCAGUACCUCGAUCCGAAUCUGCUGAAGCGCGAACGAAAGAUCUCCGACAGCUACACACAGUCCAGCAGCAGCGGCGGCACGGCCAGUGCAAGUGGGAAUUCCAACGGUUCGGCGUCACCAGCGGAUGCUGGUUCUCGUAAACGAAAAUCAAGCGAUCUGGCUAGCUCUUUGACCAGUCCCGUCGCUGCAUCGCCGGCGGGCAGCAAUGGCAGCGCUAGUAAAAAGCGACGCAACGAUUCCUUCGAUGGUGCCUCUAACAGCAGCUUCUGUAGCACGACGUCGACGACGCCCGGACAAACCACCGAAACGCAAAGCAUGGAAGGGAACGAAACGACCACUACCACCACCAAUACAGCCGUGUCCAACACUGCCACCGUCCCGGGCGACACCGUUACACUGUCCACCUCCUCUGCCACAUCCUCUUCACCGGCAAACGGCGAAAGGGAUGAAAGUGCUGCCCCUUCGAGCUCUGCCGAGGAGCCACCGUCCAGUGCCGAAGGCGGCAUGCUCGAUGACGAGAGCUGCUCGUUCGAUCCGGCGACCGCGGCCUCCAACCCCAACGGCAAUCCACAUAACAGCACCACCAACAGCAACAGCGGUAGCGGUAGUAACGACAGUAGUAACGGUAACAGUUCGGCACCGGCUGCGUCCGCAGCCGAGGUCGCUUGCUCUUGACUGACUCAUCGCCAAGCGAUGUUCCGCAAUGGAGAACCGCCGUCCCCUCCCGAUGGGGCGCGGUCUUCGAUUACUGAUGCUGGUGAUGUUAGUAGUAAGGAUCAGACAAAGGGAAGCGUCGCCGUACCAGCUACCGCUGUUGCUGCUGCUGUAGUUGCUUAACCGAAGGCGGAGAGCCAAGGCGGUGGUGCUGCUGGUGGAGAUGUGGAUGGUGCAAACGACCAUCGAAAAUAGAACUAGAUGAAGAUAAUUUAGACAAGCAGAGGGCCGGCGGUCGUCGGUAUGGUGCGAACUGUAACAGCAAACGACUGACAAAAACUUUACAUGGUUGAAUAAUAUGGAAGGGAUGCAAGUUAGAUCUAAAACCCAAGGAAAAAAUAAUCAUUUGUAAAUAGCAUUCAAAGGAUCGUUAGAAGGAGUACAUAGAAUGGAUAUUUCUAUCGAAUAUGACGGACACACACACACAAACACACACAACACCGGCCAACGGGAAGGGAAUGGAUCGUUGCUGUCAGUUAAUGUGUAUGAUAUGAAGACAAGUGGAGGAGGAAACCCGGUGGGUGUGUGUGUACCAGAGUAUUGGAUUAAACGCGCGACACAUUAGCGGUUGAAUUAUUUCGAUUCGGUGGCGGCUUCAGGUAAAAAUGUCUCAAACUGGCAAACACACAGUGGCACGUUACAGUGAAACCUCCCACUUCUCGCACUAGCAAGCAAAUCUCAAGUCGCGUUUGUGGCGAAAUAUUGAUCCUCUGCUUCGAAUCGUGCAACAACGGGCUGCUGUAGCGCGCCACACACGCAGUAGAGCAAGCACCAGACACAGUUAUGACUCAGACAGCAUUAUGCUAGCGCGAACAGAUGAGGAAGGAGUAGUAAACACGCGCCCGUCCGAUGAAGAAUUCGAACGACAGUACUCUCAAGAGUAGCGCCGAAGAUGGAAAGGGGAAGGAGAGAUAACGGCGAAGACCCCGCGCAAUCAUCGGCAGGAAGAAACAGAGAGAGAGAGAGCGAGAGAGGAUAAUAGAGUAUUGUGUGGCGCCCAAAGUUGGUUUUUCUGUAACACUCACUGUAUCCCAUACCGAUUUGAGAUAUUUUCAAUAAAGGUACAUUUAACCCUCCCCGUUUCAUACCAUUUA